UUAUGUUAAAACUCAAAAAAAUAAAUAAAAAAUUAUAUCUUUAAAAUAACAAUGAAAGAAAAUCAAAUAAAAAACCAACCAAAAAAAAAAAAGGUAAAUCAAGUUUUGGGGAGUAGAAAUCGGGAUAGAAGGGGAGAGUGAGAGUUUAAUUUUAAUUUUUUAUUCAUAUUUUAAUCAAUUUUGAUACAAAAAAUUACCAUUUUUCCCCUGCAUUUAACAGAAAAGUUAACAAAAUUGACGUUAGGAUCAUUUGUCCUUAUGAAACUGAAGUU
rnacentral:lncRNA from 1 species